rnacentral:rRNA from 1 species
AUUGAACGCUGGCGGCAGGCCUAACACAUGCAAGUCGAGCGGCAGCGGAAAGUAGCUUGCUACUUUGCCGGCGAGCGGCGGACGGGUGAGUAAUGUCUGGGAAACUGCCUGAUGGGGGGGGAUAACUACUGGAAACGGUAGCUAAUACCGCAUAACGUCGCAAGACCAAAGAGGGGGACCUUCGGGCCUCUUGCCAUCAGAUGUGCCCAGAUGGGAUUAGCUAGUAGGUGGGGUAACGGCUCACCUAGGCGACGAUCCCUAGCUGGUCUGAGAGGAUGACCAGCCACACUGGAACUGAGACACGGUCCAGACUCCUACGGGAGGCAGCAGUGGGGAAUAUUGCACAAUGGGCGCAAGCCUGAUGCAGCCAUGCCGCGUGUAUGAAGAAGGCCUUCGGGUUGUAAAGUACUUUCAGCGGGGAGGAAGGUGUUGUGGUUAAUAGCCACAGCAAUUGACGUUACCCGCAGAAGAAGCACCGGCUAACUCCGUGCCAGCAGCCGCAGUAA